GACGAACGCUGGCGGCGUGCUUAACACAUGCAAGUCGAACGGAAAGGCCCUGCUUUUGUGGGGUGCUCGAGUGGCGAACGGGUGAGUAACACGUGAGUAACCUGCCCUUGACUUUGGGAUAACUUCAGGAAACUGGGGCUAAUACCGGAUAGGAGCUCCUGCUGCAUGGUGGGGGUUGGAAAGUUUCGGCGGUUGGGGAUGGACUCGCGGCUUAUCAGCUUGUUGGUGGGGUAGUGGCUUACCAAGGCUUUGACGGGUAGCCGGCCUGAGAGGGUGACCGGCCACAUUGGGACUGAGAUACGGCCCAGACUCCUACGGGAAGCAGCAGUGGGGAAUAUUGCACAAUGGGCGGGAGCCUGAUGCAGCAACGCCGCGUGCGGGAUGACGGCCUUCGGGUUGUAAACCGCUUUCGCCUGUGACGAAGCGUGAGUGACGGUAAUGGGUAAAGAAGCACCGGCUAACUACGUG
rnacentral:rRNA from 1 species